GCGGACGUGGUGCACGGUGCACCACUGCAUUCUGUGACUUGGCGAAGACGAAGUGACAAGUAGUUCAGCGGGGUUCGACUCCCCGCGUCCGCA